UACGUAGGGUGCGAGCGUUGUCCGGAAUUACUGGGCGUAAAGAGCUCGUAGGUGGUUUGUCGCGUUGUUCCGUGAAAACUCACAACUCAAUUGUGGGCGUGCGGGCGAUACGGGCAGACUGGAGUACUGCAGGGGAGACUGGAAUUCCUGGUGUAGCAGUGAAAUGCGUAGAUAUCAGGAGGAACACCGAUGGCGAAGGCGGCAUCCUGGACCGAGAUUGACGCUGAGGCGCGAAAGCCAGGGGAGCAAACGGG
rnacentral:rRNA from 1 species